rnacentral:rRNA from 1 species
UACGUAGGUGGCAAGCGUUGUCCGGAUUUACUGGGCGUAAAGAGCGCGCAGGCGGUCGUUCAAGUCGAGUGUGAAAGCCCCCGGCUCAACUGGGGAGGGUCACUCGAUACUGAUCGACUCGAAGGCAGAAGAGGGAAGCGGAAUUCCCGGUGUAGUGGUGAAAUGCGUAGAUAUCGGGAAGAACACCUGAGGCGAAGGCGGCUGUCUGGCGGUGCACUGACGCUGAGGUGCGAAAGCGUGGGGAGCAAACGGG